GCCUGGGUGGCACAGUUGGUUAAGCAUCUGACUUUGGCCCAGGUUAUGAUCUCAUGAUUUGUGGGUUCAAGCCCCACUUUGGGCU
rnacentral:tRNA from 1 species